GACGAACGCUGGCGGCGUGCUUAACACAUGCAAGUCGAACGGAAAGGCCCUGCUUUUGUGGGGUGCUCGAAUGGCGAACGGGUGAGUAACACGUGAGUAACCUGCCCUUGACUUCGGGAUAACUUCAGGAAACUGGGGCUAAUACCGGAUAGGAGCUCCUGCUGCAUGGUGGGGGUUGGAAAGUUUCGGCGGUUGGGGAUGGACUCGCGGCUUAUCAGCUUGUUGGUGGGGUAGUGGCUUACCAAGGCUUUGACGGGUAGCCGGCCUGAGAGGGUGACCGGCCACAUUGGGACUGAGAUACGGCCCAGACUCCUACGGGAGGCAGCAGUGGGGAAUAUUGCACAAUGGGCGGAAGCCUGAUGCAGCAACGCCGCGUGCGGGAUGACGGCCUUCGGGUUGUAAACCGCUUUCGCCUGUGACGAAGCGUGAGUGACGGUAAUGGGUAAAGAAGCACCGGCUAACUACGUG
rnacentral:rRNA from 1 species